rnacentral:lncRNA from 10 species
GUCUGGAACUACAGGAAGAAGAUGAUUUUUCACCUAGUGGAGUCAUUGAACAGUGGUCUUCAAAUUGGGAUUAUUUCCAAGAAUGGAUUAAAAUGCCAUGAAAAAGAAAAAAUUAUAGAAAAGCAAAAAGAGCUGAAUGCAGUGAAUGAACAUCUGUGAAUGAAGUUGAGAAGGUAUAUGUGGUGAAAAAAGAGUGAUAUUAGUGGACUAUUCAAGAGAAUAUUAAAGUCCAGUACUGAGAGAGGCAUAAUCACCUGCACUUACACAUUGCUGACCACAGUACUGCGGCAGACUAGAAUUGCAGUGCACAGAUACAAGAAUGUUGCCUGCUUUGGAGCCAAGACUGCCUUCCGGAUAAAGGGCCCACAGAGAGCUGAGAGCUGUGUAAUACCUCAAAGACUGAAGAAAAGAGUUAGACAGCCAUCUUUCCUUAGAGGAUUUUGCUGCAGACAGCUUGAACUACCAGAAGGUUAUAUACUGACCAUGGGUAGAGUAAGGAAGAAAUACAUCCUUCGGAAAGGACAAUGAAGAUCUUUACAGCAGGGAGGUGAGGACAAAGUGAUUCUCCCUUCUGGAGGAUGCAGCAAAGUGCUGCCUGCCAUCUUGGAAGCACAGAGUAGCCUUCACCACACUCUAAUCC